AGUCCUGGCGAGAGCCGAGGGCUCCCCGGGUUCAAAGGGCCGCAGCCCCGAGGGAACGCCCUCCUUGCUGUGCCCCGGGGGGCAGAAGCGGACUGCUGGGCGGUGGGACCGGCCUGGGCCACGGUGGCAAUUACUGUUUCCUCAAGCCUGGAGUGUAUGGUUAUGGGACAGCCACUUCCUCCUUCAAAUCACAUCCAUUAAUCUGUGUGGGCAAAGUCCAUCACUAUCAUCUAUUGAUCAUAUUUGGCUUGGGUGGAACAGAUUUUCAACUGUCACAAGUAAAAUACUCCCUACAGACCAGGUAAAUUCAUACAAACCCAACAGACUAUGCUUUUUUUUUUUUUUUUUUGUGAGACAGGGUCUCUCUUCUGUCACCCAGGUUGGAGUGCAGUGGCGCGAUCAUGGCUCACUGCAUUUUUGACUUCCAUUGCUCCUCCUACCUCGGCUUCCCAAGUAGCUGGGACUACACGCAUGUGCCACCAUGCCUAGUGAAUCUUUUGUAUUUUUAGUAGAGACAGGGUUUUGCCAUGUUGUCCAGUCUGGCCUCAAAGUCCUGGGCUCAA
rnacentral:lncRNA from 1 species